CCUAGCAAUAGGUAUGCUUAGGGAGGAGCUUGCGUCACAUUAGUUAGUUGGUGGGGUAAAGGCCUACCAAGACUACGAUGUGUAGCCGGGCUGAGAGGUUGAACGGCCACAUUGGGACUGAGACACGGCCCAAACUCCUACGGGAGGCAGCAGUAGGGAAUUUUCGGCAAUGGAGGAAACUCUGACCGAGCAACGCCGCGUGAACGAUGAAGUAUUUCGGUACGUAAAGUUCUUUUAUUAGGGAAGAAUAAAUGAUGGAAAAAUCAUUCUGACGGUACCUAAUGAAUAAGCCCCGGCUAACUAUGUGCCAGCAGCCGCGGUAAUACAUAGGGGGCAAGCGUUAUCCGGAAUUAUUGGGCGUAAAGGGUGCGUAGGCGGUUAAAUAAGUUUAUGGUCUAAGUGCAAUGCUCAACAUUGUGAUGCUAUAAAAACUGUUUAGCUAGAGUAAGAUAGAGGCAAGUGGAAUUCCAUGUGUAGUGGUAAAAUGCGUAAAUAUAUGGAGGAACACCAGUAGCGAAGGCGGCUUGCUGGGUCUUUACUGACGCUGAGGCACGAAAGCGUGGGGAGCAAACAGGAUUAGAUACCCUGGUAGUCCACGCCGUAAACGAUGAGUACUAAACGUUGGGUAAAACCAGUGUUGAAGUUAACACAUUAAGUACUCCGCCUGAGUAGUACGUACGCAAGUAUGAAACUUAAAGGAAUUGACGGGACUCCGCACAAGCGGUGGAUCAUGUUGUUUAAUUCGAAGGUACCCGAAAAACCUCACCAGGUCUUGACAUGCUUCUGCAAAGCUGUAGAAACACAGUGGAGGUUAUCAGUUGCACAGGUGGUGCAUGGUUGUCGUCAGCUCGUGUCGUGAGAUGUUGGGUUAAGUCCCGCAACGAGCGCAACCCUUAUUGUUAGUUACCAGCACGUAAUGGUGGGGACUUUAGCAAGACUGCCAGUGAUAAAUUGGAGGAAGGUGGGGACGACGUCAAAUCAUCAUGCCCCUUAUGACCUGGGCUACAAACGUGAUACAAUGGCUGUUACAAAGGGUAA
rnacentral:rRNA from 2 species